rnacentral:lncRNA from 10 species
CAGCAUGGUCCCUGAAGGUGGCUGAUGUGAAAAUGUUUGGUGAAAUAUAUGACCACCUCGGGCACCAUGGAGGUGUGAAUGGUGGUGACGCUGCCCCCGCCUCCCUCCUCAUACCCCCCCGCCCCGACUCUGUCUGCACCCAGGGGACUUCCAGUUUCAGCAAGUGCCUCCAGAAAAGUUGUGCCAAUUCUUGUGACAGAUGGAAGAUUCUAAAAGCACCUCCAGAGUGCGUUAGACACAGAUAUGAGAUCAAGUGA